UAAGAAUUAGUUAAAAUAUAUAACAUAAAUAUGUCAAAUUUAAAUUAUUAUAAAAAUAAUAUUCUUUU
rnacentral:tRNA from 1 species